rnacentral:rRNA from 1 species
AUUGAACGCUGGCGGCAGGCCUAACACAUGCAAGUCGAGCGAGCGGCGGACGGGUGAGUAAUGUCUGGGAAACUGCCUGAUGGAGGGGGAUAACUACUGGAAACGGUAGCUAAUACCGCAUACCAUCAGAUGUGCCCCGAUGGGAUUAGCUAGUAGGUGGGGUAAUGGCUCACCGAGGCGACGAUCCCUAGCUGGUCUGAGAGGUGGACCAGCCACACUGGAACUGAGACCCGGUCCAGACUCCUACGGGAGGCAGCAGUGGGGAAUAUUGCACAAUGGGCGCAAGCCUGAUGCAGCCAUGCCGCGUGUGUGAAGAAGGCCUUCGGGUUGUAAAGCACUUUCAGCGGGGAGGCGUUACUCGCAGAAGAAGCACCGGCUAACUCCGUGCCAGCAGCCGCGGUAAUAC